UGUGGUUUAAUUCGAAGCAACGCGAAGAACCUUACCUAGACUUGACAUCUCCUGAAUUACUCUUAAUCGAGGAAGUCGCUUCGGCGACAGGAAGACAGGUGGUGCAUGGUUGUCGUCAGCUCGUGUCGUGAGAUGUUGGGUUAAGUCCCGCAACGAGCGCAACCCUUAUUGUUAGUUGCUACCAUUUAGUUGAGCACUCUAGCGAGACUGCCGUGGUUAACGCGGAGGAAGGUGGGGAUGACGUCAAAUCAUCAUGCCCCUUAUGUCUAGGGCUACACACGUGCUACAAUGGCUGGUACAAAGAGAUGCAAUACCGCGAGGUGGAGCUAAACUAUAAAACCAGUCUCAGUUCGGAUUGUAGGCUGAAACUCGCCUACAUGAAGCUGGAGUUGCUAGUAAUCGCGAAUCAGAAUGUCGCGGUGAAUACGUUCCCGGGCCUUGUACACACCGCCCGUCACACCAUGAGAGUUGGCAAUACCCAAAGUUCGUGAGCUAACCCGUAAGGGAGGCAGCGACCUAAGGUAGGGUCAGCGAUUGGGGUGAAGUCGUAACAAGGUAGCCGUAGGAGAACCUGCGGCUGGAUCACCUCCUUUCUAUGGAGA
rnacentral:rRNA from 1 species